CCUACGGGUGGCAGCAGUGAGGAAUAUUGGUCAAUGGCCGGAAGGCUGAACCAGCCAAGCCGCGUGAAGGACGAAGGUGCCAAGCAUUGUAAACUUCUUUUGUCAAGGGACAAAAUCAGGCUCGAGAGCCUGACCGAGGGUACUUGAAGAAAAAGCAUCGGCUAACUCCGUGCCAGCAGCCGCGGUAAUACGGAGGAUGCGAGCGUUAUCCGGAUUUAUUGGGUUUAAAGGGUGCGUAGGCGGGCUGUUAAGUCAGCGGGAAAAGCCCGGGGCUCAACCCCGGCGAGCCGUUGAAACUGGCUGUCUUGAGAUGUCGAGAGGUAUGCGGAAUGCGCAGUGUAGCGGUGAAAUGCUUAGAUAUUGCGCAGAACUCCGAUUGCGAAGGCAGCAUACCGGCGCCCAACUGACGCUGAAGCACGAAAGCGUGGGUAUCGAACAGGAUUAGAUACCCGAGUAGUC
rnacentral:rRNA from 1 species